rnacentral:rRNA from 1 species
AUGGCGAGCAAUUUACAGAACAAAAGUCCACUCACAAGGGAGUUUCGACUCGAGUUCUUACAAAGUAUUACGAAUAAUUUUUCUGACGACCGCAUAAUUGGCAAGGGUGGGUUUGGAGUAGUUUACAAGGGAGUAUUGGACAAUGGGGAAGAGAUUGCCCUGAAGAAACUUAAUCACACAGGGCUUGACGACAAGGAAUUUACAAAUGAGUUCAAUAACAUUAUUAGGGCUCAUCAUCAAAACAUUGUACAGUUUGUUGGCUAUUGCUACCAUCCAGGUACUAGCUGGAUAAUGCACGAUGGACAAUAUAUCUUUGCUCAUGAGCCAAUAAGAAUUCUUUGCUUUGAAUAUUUGCACGGUGGAAACCUUGAGAGUCUCCUUUCUGAUGAGCAGCCAUGCAGACCUGAUUGGCAGACAUGUUACAAAAUAAUUAAGGGAGUCAGUCAGGGUUUGAAUUAUCUUCAUAAUGCACAUGAAGAAUCUAUUUAUCAUCUAGACUUAAAGCCGGCCAAUGUAUUGCUGGACAACAAUAUGAUUCCGAAAAUUGGAGAUUUUGGUAUAUCAAGAAUCUUCUCAUUAACAAAAACCAUUACCACUGCAACACGAAUGAUGGGGACACUAAUAUAUCAACAAACAAGAAAUCUCACCAAAAUAUGA